rnacentral:rRNA from 1 species
CUUCCUACGGGGCGCAGCAGUGGGGGAUAUUGCACAAUGGGGGAAACCCUGAUGCAGCGACGCCGCGUGGGUGAAGGUUUUCGGAUUGUAAACUCCUUUUGUUAGAGAAGAUAAUGACGGUAUCUAACGAAUAAGCACCGGCUAACUCCGUGCCAGCAGCCGCGGUAAUACGGAGGGUGCAAGCGUUACUCGGAAUCACUGGGCGUAAAGAGCGCGUAGGCGGGAUAGCAAGUCAGAUGUGAAAUCCUAUGGCUUAACCAUAGAACUGCAUUUGAAACUGUUAUUCUAGAGUAUGGGAGAGGUAG